UGACUCGGACUCGGCAACGUUGGGUAAGAAAUAAUAGAUCUCACAAUCAUAACCAAACCAAACGGCAACUGGAUCCUAAAUUAAGUUGGAAUGCAACGUAUGAAAGUUUACUUGGGAGCAACAAGCCAUUCUCUCAGCCCAUCCCUCUUUCUGAAAUGGUAGAUUUUCUGGUGGACGUCUGGGAACAGGAUGGCCUAUAUGACUGAGGCAUCAAAGAGUAGGGGAUUGUUGUUUCCUGUUUGGUUAGAGUAGCUAUAGUAAAUUUCACUUUCUUGCUUCUGUAGAAAGAGAAGUUUGGGCAACCUCCACAAAAUUAUAUUUAUACCUGAUUUAAUUGAUGACAGGAGGCAAGUUUUUCUUUCAUA